rnacentral:rRNA from 1 species
UUCGCCCGGGUACAACGAGCCCAAGCUUAAAACCCAAAGGACUUGGCGGUGCUUUAGACCCCCCUAGAGGAGCCUGUUCUAGAAUCGAUUCUCCCCGUUCAACCUCACCCCCCCUUGUUCUCCCCGCCUAUAUACCGCCGUCGUCAGCUUACCCUGUGAAGGAAGAGAAGUAAGCAGAAUUGGCACAGCCCAAAAAGUCAGGUCGAGGUGUAGCGUAUGGAGGGGAAAGAAAUGGGCUACAUUUGCUGAGCCAGCAAAUACGGAUUUUGCACUGAAAUUAGAGCACAUGAAGGAGGAUUUAGUAGUAAGGAGGAAGUAGAGCGUCCCCCUGAACCCGGCCCUGAAGCGCGCAC